UGCAUCCAGAAAGGAGAAAACGGCUGC
rnacentral:piRNA from 1 species